UCCGUUGGAUCUUUGAAUGAUGACCAUAUUUCAUUUCUUAACCGAAUUUAUGCUUUGUUUAUCUGAAAAUUAGAGCUGCUGUGAACUAUGAUAGCUGCUGCUUCUGUGGAGGGUUAAAUUCAGGAUGCUUGUGACAAUUCUUGUAGCAUCUGUCUUGAAGCCUUCUGUGACAGUGAUCCUUCCACCGUGACAAGUUGCAAGCAUGAGUUUCAUUUUCAGUGCAUUCUGGAAUGGUAUUGUUCUUUGGCUUUCUCUAUUAACUGUUU